UAGUUCUCUCUCCACUACAUCCUUGCAAAGAGAUCUAGGGAGGCGUACGUGCGUCCCCUCUCUUCUGCAAAUUUAGAGAGAAUUUGGAGAAUUUCUCCAACAUCAUGAAGCAACUAAGUGUUUUGCUACUAUCUUUUCUUACGGUGCUUCUCUCUGUGGCUCCUGGAGGAGAUGGACAAGACAAUAACUCAGUAAACUGCUGCACAAAGCUAAGCAUUCCUAGCGAGUGCCAUUUUCUCUGUGGGUCUGGGAGCACUCCAAGCUUUUGGUCUGUCAACAGAUGGAAGUGUACUCACAAGUAUUAUGCCAAUAUUGUAACAUGCAAAGUUAAUGGUGCAAUUAAUUAUGUGAAAAUGUUUGGGGAAGGGCUGACACAAUCGGUAAAAUUAGGUUUCGAUAAGCUCAGUAAUGCCAUCAAGGAAAAGCUAACAGAUGCCAAGAAAUUUGCUACUGCAACACUAGAUGAGCUCAAGCAGAUCCCACAGGAUAUUCUCAGCUCAGCUAAGGAAGCCUUAUCUGGGAUGACAUCCCAGCAGUUCUCUUGGCUGAUUCAGAGGUUCAAGAAAUUCACCGCACAGAACCUUCGGCAGUUGAUCUCCAAUAUUGACCUUCAAGCAUUUUUUGACAAUAUUGAUGGUCUAUCUAAACAAGAGUGGGAUAAGGAGCAGCUUGCAGCCCUUGUGAAGGCAGCAUUCAGGAAGUUUGGACAGAAUGUCCAGGACUGGAGUAAGGAUGUAUUUGCUUCUCUAAAGCAGUUAUUAGCGGGUCUUGAGUCUGGAGAAUUAGCUCAAAUAGCUGCUGACAAGUUCAGAGAAAUAAACCAAUAUUUGUGUAAUGUGAAGUUUACUGGUGAUCAGAAGAAGGCAUUGAUUGUGCCAGCCAAAGAAGCAUAUGGUGAGGUGGAGAAAUGGACUGAGGAUGUUGUCCAAAAACUCUGCACUAUUGUGGAUGCGUUACCAAUUGAGGAUGUUCUAAAACUAUCCAGCAAAGUGGUGGCAAAGCUUAUCAACACCAUCGCCAGCACAGCAGAGUUCUCCUACCCCCACGCAAGGGCUCUAAUUGCUAAAGUCAAGGCCGAGAUUGGCGAUGAUGUUAAGACGUGGUCGGUUGACCAGCUUAAGAGUGUUGGAAAAUUCCUCAAAGAUUUUGAUGUGAAGGAUCUGAAACAGCUUGUGGAUCAACAAUUCAAGACACUUUUGAGCACUCUGGGUAAGAUGGACUGGUCACCGGAGAAGGCGCGUGAACUUGCCAGGAAAACCAUUCAGUUCCUGGGGACGCCUGGCAAUUGGACCGCUAGUAACUUGAGGGAUCUGGGCAAGAUAGCGAGUGGUCUUCUCCCCUCUGAGAUCAAGCAGAUUGGAAACACUGUGCUUAGGGCGGGUCUCAAGGCGUUCAAGGAUUUUGACCUGGAUAUAGACCAGGCUCAAGAAAUUGUAAACAAGAUCAAGAAAGAGCUUAAUGACCAGUUGCAGAAUAUUGAUAAAGACGAUCUCGUUUCUCUGGGCAAGGCUAUCGAUGGUUUCUUAUCUUCAGAUAUUGGCCGUCUCUCACAGGCUGUGGUAUUCGCCGCCUUCCCCGAGCUCGCGAUGGCGAAACAAGUUGCUAUGCCAGUGCUCAGACAGCUUAUUAAAAUCUACGAUAAGGACGGGUCUAGUGGUAAGAAUAUUGGAAUGCUGGGUCAGGUCGCCACGGUACUGAGCAGAUCUGAACUGAGCGAUGCCACAAUAGAAUCCAUCAUCAACAACCUUGACAAGGUCGGGGACCUCCCUUGGGACAGGACGCAGGUGAUCGCACUCGCCAAGAAGGUCCGCGACAAGUGGGGCAGCAUGAACGACUCGGACAGCUCGCUCUCGGAUGACCCCAACUGGGGGUUUAUCAGUAUGGGCAAGCUCGGACGCGUAGCCCUGGGCCUUGCGAAAGAAGAGCUGCGCGACCUCCCCAUCCGGGGUAUUGAGGACGUGAUUGACGUUUUGGGAAAGCAGAAGGACUGGGACCGAGGGCAGGUUACCAUGGUCGUAAAGCGCCUGCGUGAGUAUUGGCAGAUGGAAGAGUUGGACUUUUCCAAUUUUACUGAGCUGGACGUCAACUCGCUGGGCUCGUUCGUACAAGGGCUGACAGGUGUGGAGCUAGAUCAGCUGCCAGAGCGGGUCAUGUUGAUCGCGAUCCGUCGCCUUGGCGACGAGACUGGCAUCCCGGAGGAUAAACUUAAAGCGCGUGCUUAUCAAGCGGUUGAGUUCUUCAAGAAGCAGGCUGGAGUGGACGUGUUGAAUGCGUCCCAUGUGCAGGACCUCGGUAACCUCGUGGCGGGUUUGAGUAGAAAAGGGCUGAGUCAGAUCUCACAAGACGCCUUUGUACAGAAUCUCUACAAUAUCGCCCGCGCAAAGGGGUUUGACGACAAGAAGCUGAAAGCACUUGCUCGUUUGGCUAAGAAACAUUUUGAACAAAGUGACGUUGCAAAAUGGACCCCCUCCCAGUGGCGUGACCUCGGCCCUGCCAUUGUGGGCCUCGACCCGAGUGACCUCCGCCGCAUCAGUCGGGAAGCGUUCGAGGAGAUGACGGAUGAGCUCGGCAAGAUGAACUUUAACGAGGACCAGGCGAAGGCCCUUGUCGACGCCGCUAAGGACAUCUACAAACAGAGCGACGUCAGACAGUAGAGCAGCGAGCAGCUUAGGAGGCUUGGGUCUUUAGUGGGCGGGCUAAGCAUCACGGAUAUUCUUGACCUGAACCAGGAGACUUUCGAGGAGGCCGUGGGAGUCUGGGGCAAGCAGAUGAAUAUUGAUCUGGAGCACCUGAAGGCUCUUGCUGUCAAGGCGAAACUGCUCCUCGUGAAAGGUGACCCAUCAAAGUUUACGGCUGAACACCUAAAGAAGCUUGGCCGAGUAGUCCUGGGACUGGAACCUUCUGAUCUCGAGAAGCUGACUUUGGAGAAUAUUGAUGCAGUCGCUGCGCUUGGAAAGUGGCGUGGAUGGACGGUUGAGCAGCUAGAGAAUCUAAAGCCUAAAGUGAGGGCGUUCCUCGCCAACAACAACGUGAAGAUUGAGGAUAUCUACAUGAGCCUGGGUCAGCUGGCGACCAUCCUCAGCAAAGAAGAUAUUGCCAACAUCCCUAAGAAUUCAUUCAUGUUGGCACUGAAACAGCUUGGCGAGGAGGAAUGGACCGAGGAGCAGAGGAAGGCUAUCAUCGCCAAGGCCAAGACCACGUGGUUAGACGGCGUGGAGAGCUGGGACAAAGCGUGCAUAAGCGAACUUGGCAAAACACUUAGAAGCUUGUCGACCAGUGACAUCCCUAAACUCCAGCCUGAAGUAGUAGACGUUAUCAAACCCGAGGUGAUCGCCGCCAUGAGCACACAGCAGUUAAAGUCGUUUACCCCUGCGCAGUACAGCUCUAUGGAGACCCCCCAGGUAGCGGCGAUAAGCAUGGAGCAGCGCACACAGCUGUCCGAGAGCCAGCGGUCAUCUAUUCAAACUGUAAUCGAGGCGGAUCCAAUCGAGGCUGAUCCCUGGGGACCUGAUGACUGCUAUGACCACACCUGUGGAGGUUCGCACUUGACUGUAAGCUUGCUAAGCAUGCUGGUAAUGCUGCUUAGUAGCCUCGCCUUUCACUGGUAACCCGGAUGUUUCAGGGCACAUCUCGCACUAGAUGAUUAUUUUUCUAUCGAUUUUUUUAACAUUUCCAUGUUGGUGGAUAUUUGAUCAGAAAAUGUUCUCGAACAAUAAUAUGAUUCGCCAAACACUGUAAUUCGACUAAAGCCGCAUCUAUGCUAAAACAUUUCUUGUUUAUUUGCUGGUUUCAUUUAUUAUCAAUAUUUGAAUAUUUAAAUAAUAUAGGGCAAAUAUUAUCUAUUUUUACACGGACUUGUCGGUAUGAUUGUAAAUUAAAUAUUAAUAGAUUGGUACACUAAUUAUAGAUUGCUUUAUUAAACGGAAUGAAAUGAA